GGUCGAUUAUUUCAAUUUCAUUACAUUGCAUAUUAUAUUAAUAUGGAAUGCAAUAAUAAACCAAGAUAGAAUACAGCUGGCGGUUAUUGAUUUUAUUAAAGUGAAAAUAAUUCAAAAUAAUAUUACGUUCAUCUAAUCAUCUUACAGAGAAAGCUGAGCUAGUUUAUACAGCAUAUACUGAAAUGUCCCGUACCAACUUGUACUUAACCUGUCAAGGAGUUGGACUCGUUUGCGCUACGGUUAAUGCGAUUGCAACCAUACUCAACUGCUUCGACAAAGCUUCACAUUAUUUAAAUUCAACAAAAAGAGUGCCGGAGAUUGUAUUUCACAUUUUGACCAUAUGUGGUGGAGCACCCGGCAUGGCGAUGUGCAUGCAUCCACGUCUACUUGCCCACAGAACUCAACGAUUCUCGUACCAACAAUCUUAUUUGAUUAGCGCAGCUCUGUCGUGCGUGGCACUUUAUAUGGUGUCGCACCCGUUUAUUUAAUGAUUGAAGUUAUAUAGUCGUCGUGAAAUCAUUGUAUACUGAGGUUGAUAACCAGGGUAAUUUUUUUCUAACCUACAGUAAUGUGAUCUUGAAAAAAUAUUAAAUUUUGUCUUGAGGAUAUUUUUGAAAAUGUGCUAUUUUUGCUUUCAUUUCUGCAUUUUUUAUUUGGUUUUAUCAUUAGGAACACAUAUUUCCAGGACUAGCAGCUGAAACAUUUAUAUAUUUUUAAAAUCUUUUAAAAAAAUUGAAUAAACCUUGCUGUAAAUAAACAUCUUUACCAAGACCACCA